rnacentral:rRNA from 1 species
CAGUCGCCGCGGGAAUACGGAGGGUGCAAGCGUUAUCCGGAAUCAUUGGGUUUAAAGGGUCCGUAGGCGGUCUUGUAAGUCAGUGGUGAAAGCCCAUCGCUCAACGGUGGAACGGCCAUUGAUACUGCAGGACUUGAAUUAUUGGGAAGUAACUAGAAUAUGUAGUGUAGCGGUGAAAUGCUUAGAGAUUACAUGGAAUACCAAUUGCGAAGGCAGGUUACUACCAAUUGAUUGACGCUGAUGGACGAAAGCGUGGGUAGCGAACAGGAUUAGAUACCCCGGUAGUCCCUGUCUCUUAUAC